ensembl:rRNA 5S_rRNA 5S ribosomal RNA
GUCUACGGCAUACCACCCUGAAAGCACCCAAUCUUGUCUGAUCUUGGAAGCUAAGCAGGGUCGGGCCUGGUUAGUACUUGGAUGGGUAAACAGUCAGCAAGAAGGCUCAGUAGGUA